GCUUACGGCCAUACCAACCUGGCUAUGCCUGAUCUCGUGUGAUCUCGGAAGCUAAGCAGGUUUGGGCCUUGUUAGUACUUGGAUGGGAAACCGCCUGGGAAUACCAGGUGCUGUAAGCU
ensembl:rRNA 5S_rRNA 5S ribosomal RNA